AUUGAACGCUGGCGGCAGGCCUAACACAUGCCAGUCGAGCGGAUGAAGGGAGCUUGCUCCUGGAUUCAGCGGCGGACGGGUGAGUAAUGCCUAGGAAUCUGCCUGGUAGUGGGGGAUAACGUCCGGAAACGGGCGCUAAUACCGCAUACGUCCUGAGGGAGAAAGUGGGGGAUCUUCGGACCCCACGCUAUCAGAUGAGCCUAGGUCGGAUUAGCUAGUUGGUGGGGUAAAGGCCUACCAAGGCGACGAUCCGUAACUGGUCUGAGAGGAUGAUCAGUCACACUGGAACUGAGACACGGUCCAGACUCCUACGGGAGGCAGCAGUGGGGAAUAUUGGACAUUGGGCGAAAGCCUGAUCCAGCCAUGCCGCGUGUGUGAAGAAGGUCUUCGGAUUGUAAAGCACUUUAAGUUGGGAGGAAGGGCAGUAAGUUAAUACCUUGCUGUUUUGACGUUACCAACAGAAUAAGCACCGGCUAACUUCGUG
rnacentral:rRNA from 1 species